AGGAUUGCCACACUCAAUUUAGUGCAUCCAUGUUCAAAACGUGUUUCAUCAUCCUCUAACCAGAGCAGUCACCUCCGUCGCGUUGGAAAUCACCUCUGGAGGCGACGGAGGGCAAAGUGCCUCCAAUAAUAUAUCAGAGCCUUCGUCUUCUCCUCCUCUACCUUAAUCCAAACUCCAUUUUCCCAAUUGAUUCUCAAAACUCCAAAUCGAGCCUAAAUGUAAGAAACCUAGAUUACUAAAUCUGAAAUUAAACACGAAUCUCAAACAAUCUCAACCUUAGGACUUAGGGCUAACACUUUUCUAUGUCAAUUCCAUCAUCUAGUAAUGAGAAACAGGAUAAAAAAAAGUAUUUCAAAAGUGGAGCACCAAUCUUUAGAGCUGUGAAUCGCUCAGGUCAAGCUUGAGAUUCUUGAAGAUUAAGAUGAUACAUAAUCCAGAGAAUCGGGUAAAAUCUUCAACUCUUCUUCGUGCUUGGUUAUCUUCUCCUUCUUAGCUCUAGUCUGUAGGAACAGUGAGGUGAGAGUGAUCAAGGUUGAGUUAUUGUGAUUAUGAAAAUUGGAGAGGUUGAGAGAGCUUCAUGAAUUUUGCUGAUAUAAAAUUGAGAGGGGAAUUUUGUGAAGACUGACUCGUCUCCACUCUGUGAGUUUGGUCCUUUUCUAUGGUUGAAGUGAAAGAGUGUGAUGAAUGAAUCGAGAGCUUUUAUUUGUGAGAGAUGUGCUGGAUUUAUAGAGUGAUGAAAGGGUGGUUUUAGUAUGAAUUUGAGUUUGAGAAUUUGUUGAAGCUGAGAAUCAAAAUGAAAAUGGAGAGUGUUUGUGAGGAAUGUGAUCAAUGAUUUUGGUUCAGAAUGAAAUGAUUCGAGAGACUUUUUAUGAUCAAUGAUUGAGUUAUUCAUUGGUGGUUGUGAGCAUUGGGAUUGUGAAAAAAUCAGUUAUGGAAGUUAGGAGUUUUUUGGAAAUCGAUGUUAGUUUGUUAUUCUAUAACUGACUUUGUGGUUCCCAAUGCAAUCAGUUAGGUUAAGUUGUUAUGAAGUUUUGAGUGAGGUUAGUGUUGGUUUUUGAAUGGUUAGUUAUGAUUGAGAGAAAACUCUGUUAUCAAGUGGUUGAGGGAGAUUUUGUAGAGGUUGAAACUUAGGCAUGAGUUGUAGAUGGUUAUAGUUUUGUUUCUGUUUGUUAUGCAGGGUCCUUGGUGGCACUUGUUAUUGUGACUAUUGUUCUUGAGGUGGCUAUGCAAUGUGGAGGUUCUAAUCCUAAUUUGGUUCUGCAUGAUGCAUUUGGUAGCUAGUAUUGUAGUCACUUGGCUUGGUUAUGGUGGUUUGCAUUCAUUCUGACUUUGAGCUUGGUUUAAGCAGUAUGGAAUCAUGGUUUUUGCUUUUGCAAUUCUGACUUGGCCUAUAGUGUAUUUUGCAAUCUUGUGUUUAGUUCCAUUGCCUAAUGACCUGGUUUAUUUUGCAGCAGGUCUCUUGUAAGUCAUGUGCACAUGGUAAUGGUGGUUGAAUAGUGCAACAUGAUGACAUCAAGAUUGGAAUCUGGAGCAUCAUGUACACAUGGCAAACUCAAGGAUCAAGGAUAAAAAAUUGGCCUUAGGAUUAGAAUUAAUUUGGACUUAGGGUUUUUGGAUGAAAAGGGGUUGAGUUGACUUUGGUCAACGUUGACCAAAAAGUCAAUUGUUGACCAAAGUCAACAAUUUGUCAACAUGUUUUUUGGGGUAUUUUUUACAUGUAAUGAACAUUAUAUGAUUAUGUAAUGAAUGGAAUUUACUAUUUUGAAUGAAAUUGGGUUGGUUUUUGAAUCUUGACAUUUUGUAUGGAAUUUGAUGUUUGUAUGAUCUUGUCUGAACAUGAUACUUGAAAUGAAUGAAUUUGCUAUGAA
rnacentral:lncRNA from 1 species